ACAGGGCAUAUUUGUUAACUUCAAAGACUUGUACUAUUACAAUGGGAACAAGCUUCCUUUUUCUGCUGCUCAAAUUGGCCAGGCUUUCAGAAAUGAGAAUCAAUCAUGGUUGGGUUCCCUUAUCAACACUAUAGUUGGAAAUUUGAAACUCUCAAUUUCAAAUAUUCAUAUCAGAUACGAGGACAGUGAAAGAUUGAUGUAGGCAUUGGAUCUUCAUCAUUUGCAAAAUCACAGGGACUAGAAUGACUCAUUGAUAGUGGAUGUUUGCCAGGGUCAAUAUAAGUCGACACUGGUUUGCCCAGCAUGUGGAAAGAUUUCAAUCACUUUUGAUCCCUUCAUGUAUUUGUCAUUGCCGCUACCUUCAACUGCAACUCGGAAAAUAACCGUGACUAUGUUUUACGGCGAUGGAAGUGGUCUUCCUAUGCUAUACACUGUUAGUUUGCUAAAGCAAGGUUGCUGUAAAGAUCUUAGUGAACAACUAAGUAAUGCUUGUUGCUUGUUGCUUGUUGCUUGAAUGCUGAUGAGAUUCUUCUGCUUGCAAAGGUUUAUGAACAUAAGAUUUUUCGAUAUUUGGAAAACCCCUCAGAGCUAUUGGCUCCAAUUAAGGAGGAUGACCACUUAUAGACUUUCUAAAAACGUCGUGGGAAGAUCCAGAGUUGAAAUAAUUCAUCGACCACAUGAAAAGUAAGCUUGCAUCCCUAUCCUUAUGUAAUUGGUAAAUAUCACUGGUAAACAUGUGAUGUACAAACUGGUGUUGCCAAUCCAUCUAUUGAAAAAUAGCUUUAACUAAGUAAUUUCAGAAGGGGAUUAUAGUAUCAAUUAAAAUAAUUAUUGGCUACUUGUUCAUUAAGAAGCUGAAGUCCGUAUGAAUAAAGUUCAAGCGCUCCAAGUCAAGUGUUGACUGGAUAAUACUGGCUAUAUUAUCUGCUUUUGAGAAAUAUGUGUUUUAAUUUUUUGUAUCCUAGUCAUUUUAUG